GUGGGGAAUUUUGCGCAAUGGGGGAAACCCUGACGCAGCGACGCCGCGUGAAGGACGAAGGUCUUCGGAUUGUAAACUUCUUUUAUAGGGGAAGAUAAUGACGGUACCCUAUGAAUAAGCCACGGCUAACUCUGUGCCAGCAGCCGCGGUAAGACAGAGGUGGCAAGCGUUGUUCGGAAUUACUGGGCUUAAAGGGCGCGUAGGCGGUGGUACAAGUCUAAGGUGGAAGCCCGCGGCUCAACCGCGGAAUUGCCUUGGAAACUGUAUCACUUGAGUCAGUGAGGGGAGGGCGGAAUUCCUGGUGUAGCAGUGAAAUGCGUAGAUAUCAGGAGGAAGGCCGGUGGCGAAGGCGGCCCUCUGGCGCUUGACUGACGCUGAGGCGCGAAAGCGUGGGGAGCAAACAGGAUUAGAAACCCGGGUAGUCC
rnacentral:rRNA from 1 species